rnacentral:rRNA from 1 species
AGAGUUUGAUCCUGGCUCAGAUUGAACGCUAGCGGGAUGCUUUACACAUGCAAGUCGAACGGCAGCGCAGGGAGCUUGCUCCCGGGCGGCGAGUGGCGAACGGGUGAGUAAUGUAUCGGAACGUGCCCAGUAGCGGGGGAUAACUACGCGAAAGCGUGGCUAAUACCGCAUACGCCCUACGGGGGAAAGAGGGGGAUCGCAAGACCUCUCACUAUUGGAGCGGCUGAUAUCGGAUUAGCUGGUUGGUGGGGUAAAGGCCCACCAAGGCGACGAUCCGUAGCUGGUUUGAGAGGACGACCAGCCACACUGGGACUGAGACACGGCCCAGACUCCUACGGGAGGCAGCAGUGGGGAAUUUUGGACAAUGGGGGCAACCCUGAUCCAGCCAUCCCGCGUGUGCGAUGAAGGCCUUCGGG